UCCACCCUCAGCCUCCACCACCCGCAGGCUUUUCUGCCUCACGAUAAGCUAUUUUGUGACGGCAGGGAGCAGCAGCAAGAAACGAAACAAACGCUCCCGUUCACCCUGACAGCCAGAAGCACCCAUUCAAUAGGAUCAUCGCUGAGCGAACUAAGAUCACUGCAGGAUACCUGACAACUUCUACAGCUCAAUCACCAAAAAAUUAACACCAAGAUAGCCAGAGUUGAACAAUUGCAACCAAGAAGUCCUGGUGACCCCAGCACAGAAUUACAGGUCUCUAAACCACAGCUGAGCACCUGGUUUAUGGGCAGAAUUUGGAGCAGGACCAAGGGCGUGCUUGCUCUCCGUGACCAUGAACAUUAAGCCAUACCCAGAAUGCAAACCAAGCAGGCUGCAAGGUUCAUGUGCCCGUAUCUGAGUGGAGCUCAACCAUGUCAAGCCGUUCAGUGCUGACUACAUUUCAAUCAGCUGUCUCUGGUGAGAAAGAACAGAGACAGUUGUUUCAACUACUCGGGAUUUAUUAAUAGUUUUGAAAAUUAUUCAAGCAUGCUGCAUUUUGUGACAGAUCUUUAUAAUUUAUUAUCUGUGUAGUAAUUUUCCUGACAGCUCAUUGAGCAGCGGUGCAGAGGACUGUUUCUUGUGCAAACAAUGGACUUCAAGAACAUUUGAAAAGUCAUCUUUUGAUUCAUCCCCAAAGUAGUGCAGAGCUGUACACCGGAUCUACGUGCUUCUGAGAGCAGCUGACAACUGCUACAACAGAAACAUGGGGAGCAAAAUAAGGAACUGCACCCAAGAAUCUCCAAGCAAUUUACUAACUUCAGUUCAUUUUCAUACAUCUCAGAAGCAGUUAUAAAUGCAACUGAUGAGCUAUGGCUUCGUUCUAUUGUUGGCUUAAAGUUAUAUAGGAAUAUGUAUUUAUAAAAAUCCAAUAAGAGUCAGGAAUAGAAUAGAAUAUUGAUUCUUCCAGUAACAAGGUACUUGGGAAGGAAGGAAAAAAUAAGUUAUUUAUUUUGGUUUGGCUGUUCUGCUGGUACUUCUUGUUCUAGGAAAAUGGAGUCCAUAAAGUUUUCAGCUUGCAGGUCAGUGUUCUUUCCGGAGUUACAAUGAAGUAUUUGGUCCUUGAAAUCAGUCAGGAUCAGUGACCCACUGCUUCCUUUCCACUUUUUGCUAUUCAGUAGGUGUUUCAAACAACACAGAAAUCUUGCCAUGAAAGGAUGAAGGUGGUCUCAGCUCCUGCUGAGCUCUGAGUGCAGCAGGAGCUUGCAGACAGAAGUUUGCAUCUCUCAUAUUCAACCCACUUUUGCUUAGACACCAGCUGAGCUGCCUUGUUCAUACUGCUGAUACCGUAUUAUCAGCUUUACACAUGAAACCUAAAGGUAGCUUACAGGUUAAAUCUUACCACUGACACCUCAUUAAUUGUAUUGUGGCAGCUACAGAAUACCAAAGGCACUGGUCAGUAACAAAUGAAGAUCGUUUUACCCCACAGCAAUCUCUAGCCUGAACUUUAUUCACCAAAUUGACUUUGACUGCAACCUUCAGCACUGAUAAACGUGAGCAGCAGAUGGUUUGAACACACCUACAGGAGCCAAGAGAUAUUUGUU